rnacentral:rRNA from 1 species
AUUGCACGCUGGCGGCAGGCCUAACACAUGCAAGUCGAGCGAGCGGCGUACGGGUGAGUAAUGUAUGGGGACUGCCCGCUAGAGGGGGAUAACUACUGGAAACGUUAGCUAAUACCGCAUCCUAUCGGCUAACCCAUAUGGGAUUAGCUAGUAGGUGAGGUAAUGGCUCACCUAGGCGACGAUCCCUAGCUGGUCUGAGAGGAUGAUCAGCCACACGGGGACUGAGACACGGACCAGACUCCUACGGAGGCAGCAGUGGGGAAUAUUGGACAAUGGGGGAAAGCCUGAUGCAGCCAUCACGCGUGUAUGAUGAAGGCCGUAGGGGUGUAAAGUACUUUUGGCAGGGAAGCGGUAUCUGCAGAAUAAGCACCGGCUAACUACGUGACAGCAGCCGCGGUAAUAC